GAUGAACGCUGGCGGCGUGCCUAAUACAUGCAAGUCGAGCGAACGGACGAGAAGCUUGCUUCUCUGAUGUUAGCGGCGGACGGGUGAGUAACACGUGGAUAACCUACCUAUAAGACUGGGAUAACUUCGGGAAACCGGAGCUAAUACCGGAUAAUAUUUUGAACCGCAUGGUUCAAAAGUGAAAGACGGUCUUGCUGUCACUUAUAGAUGGAUCCGCGCUGCAUUAGCUAGUUGGUAAGGUAACGGCUUACCAAGGCAACGAUGCAUAGCCGACCUGAGAGGGUGACCGCCCCCCAGGACCGUGGACCCGGGCCCAGACCCCUGGGGGGGGCGGCGGAGGGGAUUCUCCCCCAAGGGCGGAAGCCCUGAGGGGACACCCCGCGGGAGGGGAGAAGGGUUUUGGGUCGUUAAAACCUUUUUUUUGGGAAAAAAAUUUGGUUAAGUUACUGUCCCCAUUUUGGCGGUACCUAAUCAAAAAGCCCCGGCUAACUCCGU
rnacentral:rRNA from 1 species